CCGAACCCUCUCGCAUCCAGUGCACCACAGAGCGUACAUACACCUGUAUUUUUAUUCUUGCCACCUUUCCUAACGUCUAUUGUCAUACCACUGCUAUGACUAUAUUUGUCAUGCUUCAAUAUCCCAGGCAGAGUGUAUAUCUAAAGAGAAGCUUCGCUGCUAGGGAUUACGGCAGUGAAAGAGAUGAUGCCGCGUUUGAUAACAUUGCUCAUUGGGGUGAAAGUAGAGACGGCGUAAGGAUGGAGAUAAAGCGCGGUGCGUAAAAAUGAUGCUCGCUUUUUUCCCCUUUUCGCAUCUAGAUGGUUUUCCGUGACCGAUACACGCGUUAUGUAAUGCGUUAACCAUCGAGCGCCACUGGAAAAGAGGGCGAAUGGGCUCGUCUUCUUCACCUUUAGCGUGUGCGUGUCUGCUGCUUGGUGUGGUGACACCACCCCCCAGGUCCUGUGUGGCGUGUGGGUAGCAGAGUGAGGGCACCGCCCCGCCCGGCAUGGGCAGUGCUGGCAGCGGGGUAGCCAAUCACCAGUCAACAUUCGCUAUGCGCAGCGUGGGCACUCGCACCACCACCAUCACCGCCACCGCCGGUGCCCCCAACACUCAGGGCAGCGGCCUGUCACGCGGCCCAUCCCUGCCCCCCGGCACCUCCACUCGCCGUCGCCUCGAUGACCGUAGCUACAGCGCCGAGCGACCCCCCCACCCGGCCAACGCCUUGGGCCCUCCCAAGACUGGGGGCCCGCCGGGCGACGAGCGCAGUUACGGCAACGCAGAGAGCUCGUAUUACGGAGGGGGCACGGAAAAACCGCCACCACAGCCAGAUGGCGCAGAGCGCUUGGCCACACACACCAAUGCCAACCGGCACCUGACCAACGGGGAGCGGAUGGUGGCCAACACCGCCUUCCUGAACGGGUUGGUGCGGCGUGACGGACACCAUGACCGCGGGCGGACGUCAGAGGCCAUGUCUGGGCCGGGCUCGAUGGGGGUGGACAUCUGUGGUAACAGCGUGGCCCUCAAUAAUGACAAGAACAGCAGCCUUCAGAUGACAACACACUUCAAGGACAACCCCAACGCCAAGCUGGACAACCACAAAAACCCCCCAAACAUCCUGCCUGUCUCUGGGAAACUGGAGCAGAAUGAUGGCCUGGUCCGUCCUUCAGCUUUCAAACCGGUAGUGCCCAAGAGUUUUCACUCAAUGCAGAACCUGGUGUCCCCCGCCCAAAAGGGAC
ensembl:lncRNA